rfam:Filifactor alocis ATCC 35896, complete genome.
GGCAGAGUAGGAAAAGUGCGUUAAGUGCCAUAGGAUGGGAUGUUGCCUAUGGACGAAAAGAGAAUUUUCUUGCGGUACUUUUUUGCAUCCACUGUU